rnacentral:rRNA from 1 species
CAGCAGCCGCGGGAAUACGUAGGGCGCAAGCGUUAUCCGGAAUUAUUGGGCGUAAAGAGCUCGUAGGCGGUUUGUCGCGUCUGCCGUGAAAGUCCGGGGCUCAACCCCGGAUCUGCGGUGGGUACGGGCAGACUAGAGUGAUGUAGGGGAGACUGGAAUUCCUGGUGUAGCGGUGAAAUGCGCAGAUAUCAGGAGGAACACCGAUGGCGAAGGCAGGUCUCUGGGCAUUAACUGACGCUGAGGAGCGAAAACAUGGGGAGCGAACAGGAUUAGAUACCCGAGUAGUCCCUGUCUCUUAUAC